rnacentral:rRNA from 1 species
AAACCAACCGGGAUUGCCUCAGUAACGGCGAGUGAAGCGGCAAAAGCUCAAAUUUGAAAUCUGCGUAAGCCGAGUUGUAAUUUGAAGAUGGCUACUUUGGUAAUGGCUCUUGUCUAUGUUCCUUGGAACAGGACGUCACAGAGGGUGAGAAUCCCGUGCGAUGAGAUGUCCAUUACCGUGUAAAGUGCUUUCGAAGAGUCGAGUUGUUUGGGAAUGCAGCUCUAAGUGGGUGGUAAAUUCCAUCUAAAGCUAAAUAUUGGCGAGAGACCGAUAGCGAACAAGUACAGUGAUGGAAAGAUGAAAAGAACUUUGAAAAGAGAGUGAAAAAGUACGUGAAAUUGUUGAAAGGGAAGGGCUUGAGAUCAGACUUGGUAUUUUGUAUGGCUUGCUUUCGGGCGGGUCCUCUGCAGUUUACUGGGCCAGCAUCGGUUUGGGUGGCAGGAUAAUAGCAUAGGAAUGUGGCUCUACUUCGGUGGAGUGUUAUAGCCUUUGUUGAUACUGCCUGCCUAGACCGAGGACUGC